GAGGGGAUAGCUCAGUGGCGGGGUGUGUGCCUAGCAUGCACAAGGGUCCUGGGUUCGAUCCCCAGUACCUCUA
rnacentral:tRNA from 1 species